rnacentral:tRNA from 1 species
UCCCUGGCAGUCCAAUGGUUAAGACUCUGCACUCCCAAUGCAGAGGGCAUGGGUUCAAUCUCUUGUUGUGGGAA